rnacentral:rRNA from 1 species
UGAGCAAUCUGCCCUUCUCUUUGGAAUAAGCGUUGGAAACGACGUCUAAUGCCGAAUACGACCUCCUUUCGCAUGAUCGGGGGUGGAAAGCUCCGGCGGAGAAGGAUGAGCUCGCGGCCUAUCAGCUAGUUGGUGAGGUAACGGCUCACCAAGGCGACGACGGGUAGCUGGUCUGAGAGGAUGGCCAGCCACAGUUGGGACUGAGACACGGCCCAGACUCCGUAGGGAG